AAUACGUAGGGGGCCAGCGUUGUCCGGAAUUAUUGGGCGUAAAGCGCGCGCAGGCGGUCAUUUAAGUCUGGUGUUUAAUCCCGGGGCUCAACCCCGGAUCGCACUGGAAACUGGGUGACUUGAGUGCAGAAGAGGAGAGUGGAAUUCCACGUGUAGCGGUGAAAUGCGUAGAGAUGUGGAGGAACACCAGUGGCGAAGGCGACUCUCUGGGCUGUAACUGACGCUGAGGCGCGAAAGCGUGGGGAGCAAACAGG
rnacentral:rRNA from 1 species